AUUGAACGCUAGCGGGAUGCCUUACACAUGCAAGUCGAACGGAGUGGCGAACGGGUGAGUAAUGUAUCGGAACGUGCCCAGUAGCGGGGGAUAACUACGCGAAAGCGUAGCUAAUACCGCAUACUAUUGGCGCGGCCGAUAUCGGAUUAGCUAGUUGGUGGGGUAACGGCUCCCCAAGGCGACGAUCCGUAGCUGGUUUGAGAGGCCGACCAGCCACACUGGGACUGAGACACGGCCCAGACUCCUACGGGAGGCAGCAGUGGGGAAUUUUGGACAAUGGGGGAAACCCUGAUCCAGCCAGCCCGCGGGUGCGAUGAAGGCCUUCGGGUUGGAAAGCACUUUAAGUUGGGAGGCGUUACCAACAGAAUAAGCACCGGCUAACUUCGUGCCAGCAGCCGCGGUAAUUC
rnacentral:rRNA from 1 species